rnacentral:rRNA from 1 species
CCUACGGGUGGCAGCAGGGAGGAAUAUUGGACAAUGGGCGCGAGCCUGAAGCAGCCAAGGAGCGUGAAGGAUGACGGCCCUACGGGUUGUAAACUUCUUUUAUAAAGGAAUAAAGUGAGGCACGUGUGCCCUUUUGUAUGUACCUUACGAGUAAGGAUCGGCUAACUCCGUGCCAGCAGCCGCGGUAAUCCGGAGGAUCCGAGCGUUAUGCGGAUUUAUUGGGUGUAAAGGGAUCGUAGUUGGGCUGUUAAGUCAGUUGUGAAAGCUUGCGGCUCAACCGUAAAAUUGCAUUUGAUACUGGCAGUCUAGAGUACAGUUGAGGUAGGCGGAAUUCGUGGUGUAGCGGUGAAAUGCUUAGAUAUCAGGAAGAACUCCGAUUGCGAAGGCAGCUUACUAGACUGCAACUGACGUUGAUGCUCGAAAGUGUGGGUAUCAAACAGGAUUAGAUACCCCAGUAGUC